CCUACGGGUGGCAGCAGUGGGGGAUAUUGCACAAUGGGCGCAAGCCUGAUGCAGCCAUGCCGCGUGUGUGAAGAAGGCCUUCGGGUUGUAAAGCACUUUCAGCGGGGAGGAAGGCGUUAAGGUUAAUAACCUUGUCGAUUGACGUUACCCCCAGAAGAAGCACCGGCUAACUCCGUGCCAGCAGCCGCGGUAAUACGGAGGGUGCAAGCGUUAAUCGGAAUUACUGGGCGUAAAGCGCACGCAGGCGGUCUGUCAAGUCGGAUGUGAAAUCCCCGGGCUCAACCUGGGAACUGCAUUCGAAACUGGCAGGCUAGAGUCUUGUAGAGGGGGGUAGAAUUCCAGGUGUAGCGGUGAAAUGCGUAGAGAUCUGGAGGAAUACCGGUUGCGAAGGCGGCCCCCUGGACAAAGACUGACGCUCAGGUGCGAAAGCGUGGGGAGCAAACAGGAUUAGAUACCCCUGUAGUC
rnacentral:rRNA from 1 species